AUUGAACGCUGGCGGCAGGCCUAACACAUGCAAGUCGAGCGGAUGAAGGGAGCUUGCUCCUGGAUUCAGCGGCGGUCGGGUGAGUAAUGCCCAGGAAUCUGCCUGGUAGUGGGGGAUAACGUCCGGAAACGGGCGCUAAUACCGCAUACGUCCUGAGGGAGAAAGUGGGGGAUCUUCGGACCUCACGCUAUCAGAUGAGCCUAGGUCGGAUUAGCUAGUUGGUGGGGUAAAGGCCUACCAAGGCGACGAUCCGUAACUGGUCUGAGAGGAUGAUCAGUCACACUGGAACUGAGACACGGUCCAGACUCCUACGGGAGGCAGCAGUGGGGAAUAUUGGACAAUGGGCGAAAGCCUGAUCCAGCCAUGCCGCGUGUGUGAAGAAGGUCUUCGGAUUGUAAAGCACUUUAAGUUGGGAGGAAGGGCAGUAAGUUAAUACCUUGCUGUUUUGACGUUACCAACAGAAUAAGCACCGGCUAACUUCGUG
rnacentral:rRNA from 1 species